CGCGACAUCUGGCUCCCGGGAUUUUCCCGAGCAGCGUCGCCGCCAUGAGGGCGCACCAGGGUAGCUGUGAGGAGCCGCUGCUCAUGGCUGCCUGUCCCAAGGAGAGGGGUUUGGGGGGAUGUUCCUAGUGGCUGCUGAAACCAUUUGCUUCUGGGAUCCUCCCUGUGUCUCCUCUGCUCGGCACUGGCUGUUAACUUAGGCUUUUCCUCGGUGGAACGGAAACAUGUGUCUGGACAAGCUGAGGAGCUCCAAGACGCAAGCCACAUGUAAGAUGUCCAGCCACCCUGAGGCUGCCGUGUUGGAGAAGCCAAUGCAAUGACCACCUGAAGACAUCUCAGCUGGACCUAGAGAGAGAUGCACAACCUGGCCCUAGACAUCAGACAUGUGAGUCAAGACACCUGCUGAUGGUUCCAAGAUCAUUUGCUGUGAAGACUGGUUGAGAGGAUGUAAGUUCCCUACAUAUGAACCUUCGAGUCUCGAACUUUCAAAGAUACACACACGCGUUCGCCUGUCAAUCACGUGGGUUAGUUCCUGAGCCUGGCAUGCGUCGUCACGUGUGAGCACCCUCUACAAGCGACUGUGCCUUUGCAUACCUUACUGUGGAUACUGUCUAGAGGACAGGAGUACACUACCUUCGUUUCAAGCCCAGGGUGUACCCAGACACCACUGGAUCGUUUUUUUCAAGAAGGUGGAUAGAACUGAAUCGAGUAACGAACCAGAGCCUGUGCCAUCAAUGUCAGGCUUGAGUGAGAUUCCAGCUGGCCCUCCGUCUCCUGUUGCCAAUGACCCUUCAGCUCCACCGUCUCCCACCUCUUCUCCCUCCUCCCGUCAGUCACUCUUCUCGCCUGUUCACUCCAUGCCAGCCCCUGUGUGCCAGCUGUUGUACCGGACUAUGGUACUUUUCAAGAAGAUGUCUCCUUUCAGAUAUCACACUGAAGGUCCCUGCAAAGGUGAGAUGGUGGUUUUGAAGCUUCUGGAAUCAAUCCAUAUCCUUUAGAGGAGAAUAUGAACCCAGGGUGGGAUUCACUGAGGAGGGUGAUCAACUGUCCUGAUUUGCUGCAACGAGUCUCUUUUAGCACUGAAAAUCCCACAUCCUGGGAAAACUCUGGACUGGGACCAGUUUGUUACAGGUCACUGGGAGCCUCUUCUCAGCAAAGGGAGGAACACAAGUCUGGCCAGGUGACUUCAUCAAAGUUCUGCCAGCCAUGGGGAGUGGCCCCCUGACCUGUCCCGGCCCAGGGUUGAUGACAGCUCUGAUCAACUCAUCCAGGCACUGUACCCCUGCAUGUGGUCCUUCCUCCCUCAUCACCUGCCCUUGUUCCACAAACACUUGUCAAACAUUCAUUCUAGGUCCAUUUCUCCAUCAGCCUGGAAGAAC